GAUCCUGGCUCAGGAUGAACGCUAGCUACAGGCUUAACACAUGCAAGUCGAGGGGCAGCAUGUUGGUUGCUUGCAACCAAUGAUGGCGACCGGCGCACGGGUGAGUAACGCGUAUCCAACCUUCCCCUUAGUAGAGGAUAGCCCGGCGAAAGUCGGAUUAAUACUCUAUGUUCUUCAAUGCGGGCAUCUAAGUUGAAGCAAAGAUUUAUCGCUAAGGGAUGGGGAUGCGUCUGAUUAGGUUGCAGGCGGGUAACGGCCCACCUGGCCUACGAUCAGUAGGGGUUCUGAGAGGAAGGUCCCCCACACUGGUACUGAGACACGGACCAGACUCCUACGGGAGGCAGCAGUGAGGAAUAUUGGUCAAUGGGCGCGAGCCUGAACCAGCCAAGUAGCGUGCCAGGACGACUGCCCUAUGGGUUGUAAACUGCUUUUAUCAGGGAAUAAAGUGAGGCACGCGUGCCUUUUUGUAUGUACCUGAUGAAUAAGGACCGGCUAAUUCCGUGCCAGCCGCCGC
rnacentral:rRNA from 1 species